CUAUGCGCCUUGCCCAGCCGCUCAGGUGUGCCAGCAGCCGCGGUAAUACGUAGGGGCAAGCGUUAUCCGGAUUUACUGGGUGUAAGGGGGCGCAGACGGCGCGGCAAGUCCGGAGUGAAAUCCCAGGGCCCAACCCUGGGGCUGCUCUGGAAACUGCCGGGCUGGAGUGCUGGAGGGGCAGGCGGAAUUCCUAGUGUAGCGGUGAAAUGCGUAGAUAUUAGGAGGAACACCAGUGGCGAAGGCGAUUCUCUGGGCCAAGACUGACGCUGAGGCGCGAAAGCGUGGGGAGCAAACAGG
rnacentral:rRNA from 1 species